AAUACAUUAGGAUUAGUCGUCGACAGCAGUCGAUUUUACAUAAUGAUAUCUUCUUUGAUGCAUCGUUGUGAGGCUUAUAAGUCUCCAAUCAUCGUACUCGAAAAAUACUUCGGUCGUUUGAAAGUCUCCGCAGCUCGAAGAAUUUGAUACAUUAAUCCGAACGAGAAAUCAUCCGACGACAGGAUUAAUCUUACAUUGAUCCACGGCCGGAAAUCACGGUGGAAGAGCGUGCAAAUGCCGAUUGAUCCGUAAUAACGAGUACAUGUUCGGCUCUACAUAAAUUCCGCAAUAAUAAUCGUAUUUCCGUAAUCGUUUGCAUUCACGUGGAAGAUCUCGGCGAAAAUCUCCGAAGAGCAGUCGAAGGCUGCCGUAAAUUAACCCAUACAUGCAUUUGGGAAAUCGUUCACGUAGGACAACCGUUUCCCCAUCCUGCACAUUUCCGGUCUGGAUAGAAUCGACAGAAACGACAGCAACGACGAGGACGAUAGCGAGAGGCGCCUGGAAUCCCGAAAGCUCCCGAAUCGUUUCGUUCACCAAGAUGCGCCAUCUGGUCCAAUUAUACACAAUCUCGUAGUGUCUUCAAGAAUCUUCAGUUACCGUGGAAACCUUUGAACGACUCCAUCACCGUUGAAUGAAGUCGGAAUGGUAAGCGGUGAAGAGGAAAAGACAUCAGGGAAAUCUGGUGAGAUGAGCUGGCCUUUUCCAAGAAAGCCUCGGCGAGGGUGUAUAUGCAAAGACGAUAGUAAAUUCGUUUCUUCCUUCACGCUCCGGUAAAAC